CCCACUCCGCCGCAGGCGGCACUCCCCACGAUCUAUUUUUUAAAAUCCAUGUACGUCGAGCCUUUCAUCCAAACCCGUAAACAACCAUUUCCUCCCUGCAACAGUGGCUCGCACAGCCCGAGCCGUUCAGGCGAGCCAGGGCCGAGUCGCGCAAACAGGGGGACUGCAGACUGCGGUGCUGGGCAGGGCCGCUCCUCCCGCCGCGCGCUCCAGCGUUCCUCGUCACGGGUGUGAUUUAGGAGGGUUCAGGACCCUGGGAAGAUCCCGCCCUUGAAACCGAGACCCGGGAACCGGAGGCGGCCUCAGCCCAGCAGAGCCAAGCCUUUGGAAAUCUGGCUUCUCUCCAGCGGCCAGGAGCGGCCCCAGCGGGUGCGCGGAGCCGCUCCCAGAGAGCCCCCAUAUUGUCGAAGCUUCAGGCGCCAUGACAUCUGAAUCUGCUCUGGCUCAGAAGUGGCUGGGAGGUUGGUUGCUCCAUCGUUAGAUCCAAGUUCUCAACUAGCCGGGCAUUCCACUGCACCGCUAUCGACGUCAUCUAUGAUGUCAUGAGGGUGGCGGCCACCGGCAUUGCAGCCCGCAGCCUGGGACGUCCCCAGGAUCUCUUCAGCGUUCUAGAGAGGUCAACAGAUCGCUGACGCGUCUG